rnacentral:lncRNA from 1 species
GAUGCUUCUGUUCUCUGCGGCUACCUCUUCUAGACUGUGAGCUUCCAACGUUCUGUUGAUUAGGGCAAUCCAGGAAUUUAAUGACAUCAUAAGACAUCAGGCCCACCAAAUGGUCCUUGCUCUCUAUUCUUGCAGAUAUUGGAAUUUCUUAGAAGCUGAAUUUCAGACUCACAACCACCUGCAGCGGUAUGCCUGUUGUGACUGCAGAAUCAGUCAGGGAAAGAAGGCUGUGUGGAACUGUACACGCAACAAUGACUUCUCAGUCAGAGACAUACCCCAGACUCCCUUCAACAGAAAGCAAACAAAAGCAAUAGUUCAUGAAAAUGUUUAUGAAAUGGGGUGUAGAAACCAAACACAGUGGCAGCCAUGUAGGCCUUUUAGAUUUAAGCGCAUUUAUUUUUCAUAGAAAUAAAAAUAAGCCUAGCUUUCAAAAACAUCUCAUGUUCUACUUGAGAUUUCAUAAGAAUAUUUUGCAGAAGAAUAUGGUUUUAUAUUAUCAAGAGAUAACUGAAUGACUUUAAUUUCUACUUGUUCAAUAUGAAGCCGAGUGUGACACAUCAAUUCCAUUAAGUUCAGUUCAACAAAUACUUACUGUCGCUGAAAUGCCGGAGGAGCUAUGUGAGGUGUUGUGUAGAGUGCAGAGAUAAACAAGACAUGAUCUCUGAGUCCAAGGACAUUCCCUCUCCUCCAAGUCAACUCAAUGUCUCCUUUUGAUCUUUCAAGGGCUUUUUGGAUCAUGAUCCUUUUGCAGUUUGGCUAGAAUUAUUCUGGGGAUUGUGUUGGAGUCAUUAAGAACCACUUUGUUUGUGUGUCUCUAAAGUGAGGCUACAGUAUUAACUAUUGGAAACACAUUUCUUUUAGAUUCUGUGUCCAAACUGUUCUCUGUCUGUACAUAUACUACAGACAAAGAAAUGAGGAUGCUACUGUUAGCAGAACAUCAGGAGGGGGACACAGCUUACUAAACCAAUUUCUGGCUCAAAAAGUCAUGUUAAAUAUUCUUAUGACACACACACAAAAGGGGGGCAGUAUCAUGAGUUAGUGCCAGAUGCUGGAAGGUGGUUGAGCCAGUGAGGCGGGCCCUCAGGAAGGAGAAGAGAAUUUGGAUGCAAAUUACAACAUUUCCUCCUCUAAGGAGAAUGGAGCACCAGGAGCUUUUAUCAUUUUCAGGGAAUGUUGUGAAGGGAAUUUCAUAUUUAAAUUCUUGAGACGUGAAAAUGAUGUAAUAUGUAAAACUUUUUGUAUGUCUUUGUUAGUUAGCCAAUUUCUCUGCCAUAAGGCUUUUCCAUGUGAAAUGAGCUGAGAAAGGAAAAAUAAAAUGUAGAUGAAAUCUCUUUUAGAGAAGAAGUGGAAGUAAAAUAAAAAUCUGCUUCUUCUGGCCCCAG